AAUAAAUAAUUCCAUCUAUUUGUAUUGUUAAAAACGAGCAUGCUUGACGGGAUAACCAGACAGUGACAUGUGGUGUGCCAUAGGUACGUCAUGUUGACGUAAAAAAACUAAUUUUUAACAGUAGAACUAGAUGAAAUUUGUAAUA
rfam:Gossypium arboreum cultivar AKA8401 contig_49086_1, whole genome shotgun sequence.